GGCCGUGUGGCGUAAUGGCAACGCGUCUGACUACGAUUUGUUAUCAGGAGAUUGCAGGUUCGACCCCUGUCUCGGUCA
rnacentral:tRNA from 1 species